rnacentral:misc_RNA from 1 species
GGGACAUCCAGUCUGGCCAGUUGCAAUCUACGGGCAUUAUGCUGAUGCAGGGGAUUCUGCUGCACUGCUCUCUGGUGCUUUAAAUGUCCCAAUGCUUUUUACUGGCCACUCAUUAGGUCGGGAUAAACUGGAGCAAUUAUUAAAACAGGGUCGGUUGUCAAGGGAUGAGAUAAAUUCAACAUACAAAAUAAUGCGCCGUAUAGAGGCAGAAGAAUUAGCUCUUGAUGCCUCUGAAAUAAUUAUAACGAGCACAAGACAGGAAAUUGAAGAGCAAUGGAAAUUAUAUGAUGGGUUUGAUCCUAUCCUGGAACGUAAGUUACGUGCUAGGAUAAAGCGUAAUGUGAGUUGCUAUGGCAGGUUCAUGCCCCGUAUGGCGAUAA